AUAUAUGUACGUGUAUAUACAUACGUGUGUGUACAUAUAUGUACACACACGUAUGUAUAUACACGUACAUAUAUG
rnacentral:pre_miRNA from 8 species